GGUUGCUAAGCGGAAGAUGUUGGAGGCUACUAGGGCUCUCUCUCCUGUUCCCUCUCGUUUUCCAGAGUACCAAGUCAUUAAAAUACCCAGGGUUGUUUCCAAGAGUCCCUUGGAGGUAUGCCAGUGAAUGAUAAGUGAGCCUGGUCUUCAGGGAAAGCCAGCCAAAGAAGAAGAAAAAAAGGGACACAUUUGGAAGGUCGGUGUUGACUCUUCGCGCAACCACAUAGAUAGAUUCUCUCCAGGAUGACCUGUCUUCAACUUGGCCUUGAAGGUCUCUCAGUGGUGCCUUCAUUGCUGUCGUGAUUGAAUCCAUCCACCUUGCUGCUGGUCAUCCUCGUCUUCUCUUGCCUUCAACUUUCCCCAGCAUUAUGGACUUCUCCAGGGAGCUCGGUCUUCACAUCAUGUGUCCGAAGUAUGAUAGUUUGAGCCUGGUCAUUUGUGCCUCGAGUGAAAAUUCUGGAUUUGUUCUAUGAUAGAGAAGUGCAAAAAAUGAUUUGGUGCGUUCAGUAGGGAUGCACUGAAUGGCUUUGGCACGGCCCGCUAAAUCGUUUUGGUGGGGUGGGGAGCAGGACCUUUAAGGACGAGUAAAGCAGGUCCUUAAAACCUGCUUCUCUGCUACCCCACAAUUUUUCCUGCUGCCGGGACACACAUGGUCGCCAAGCAUGCCGGCUCAGCACAGGCUUCUGGGUCAGCGCAGCAGCUGUGCACAGACUUCUGAAUGUUGCAGGGCUGCAGCAGGAACAGUGGUGGGUGGUGUGUGGUGUGUGGUGGAGGGACAGGCUUUAAAGACCUGCUUUACUCAUCCUUAAAAGUCUCGCCCCUGCCCAAACGCUUUGUGCACAUCUCUACCAGCAGCAAAGAAAGCAACAUCUUGAAAGAAGAUUGUGGUAGCACUAUUCGCUUGUGAAAAGUCGAAAUGGUUCCGCUGCAGCUCAGAGCAAAUGUUGAACAUCUAUAUCACAUUACAUAAUAGCUUUAAUUAAAUCCAAAUAUUAUAUUCAAAUAGUAUGAGUGGAUUACCUAUAACUAGGCCGUGGAAGUUAUAAAUAUCAGCGGCGUUUAUUCAUAAUCACUCACAAAGAAUUCAUAUGGCAAUACAAUCAUCCUUGUGUCUGAAUCAUCUUCUGUAAUAUGAUAAGAUAAACUGUUGCUCUCU